CCCCUAGAUGUUCUGGGCCGCACGCGCGCUACACUGAACAGUUCAACAAGUCUUAACCUUGGCCGAUAGGUCUGGGUAAUCUUUGAACGCUGUUCGUGAUUGGGAUAGACCUUUGCAAUUAUGGGUCUUCAACGAGGAAUUCCUAGUAAACGCAAGUCAUCAGCUUGCAUUGAUUACGUCCCUGCCCUUUGUACACACCGCCCGUCGCACCUACCGAUUGGACGGUUUAGCGAGGCCCCCGGAUCGGCGCGCCGCGGCUGGACUCGCUUCUGGCUGCGGCGACUGUCGAGAAGAUGGUCGAACUUGACCGUCUAGAGGAAGUAAAAGUCGUAACA
rnacentral:rRNA from 1 species